AUGUCAUCCUCUGGCCGCAGGGGUGCCCGGGAGGAGACUGGGGCUGGAGCAGGGAUAGGUGCCGGAGUUGCUGUUGGAUGAGAAAACUGAGCAUCAGGAAGGAGAGAUGAAUAAAAGGUGAAGCUUAGAAGGAGGGAAGAACCAGACAGGCGAGUGCUUGGGCCGGAUCACACAAACGCGUCUCUGUUCCUUGUACUCCCCUGUCCCCAUGCACGGGAGCCCCGGGAGUCAGGGAGAGCAUCAGCCUGUCCACUGCUGUGUCCCAGGACCUGAGCACAGAGUAGCAGUAACACCAACGAUGGCAGAUGAAGAAACUGAGGCCGAGAUCAUACAGGAAGUAAGUGACAGA